rnacentral:rRNA from 1 species
UUCGCAAUGCCCGAAAGGGUGACGAAGCGACGCCGCGUGCGGGAAGAAGGCCUUCGGGUUGUAAACCGCUGUCGGGAGUUAAGAAAUGUAAGGAUGUUAAUAGCAUCUUUGCUUGACUAAGGCUCCGGAGGAAGCCACGGCUAACUCUGUGCCAGCAGCCGCGGUAAUACAGAGGCGGCAAGCGUUGUUCGGAAUUAUUGGGCGUAAAGAGCACGUAGGCGGCUAUGUAAGUCGGUUGUGAAAGCCUUCCGCUCAAUGGGAGAACAGCAUCCGAUACUGCAUGGCUUGAGUGCGGGAGGGGAGAGUGGAACUUCUGGUGGAGCGGUGAAAUGCGUAGAUAUCAGAAGGAACGCCGGAGGCGAAAGCGGCUCUCUGGCCCAUAACUGACGCUGAGUGUGCGAAAGCUAGGGGAGCAAACGGGAUUAGAUACCCCGGUAGUCCUAGCCGUAAACGAUGGGCACUAAGUAGAGGGGUUUU